UACUGAUUUCACAGUCCUCAAUGUAUUGAGAUAAUGAAAGGUUAUUUUCAAAUUUGAAAUUGAUUAGUUUAUUGGUUUUCCUAAUUACAUCUCCAAGUUUAAUAUCUUACUGAAAAAACGUUCUCUGCUUGCUAUCACCACUACCGCUCCACUAUGUGUAAACUGCAGCUAGAGUUUGCGCUUUGUCUUCGCCUUCGUUCUCACUGAUUUCUUCAAUCGCUGUCCCUCUCCAUAGCUUCAGAUCCACCACACCCAUUGAGAAAAAUUAACCAGCUACGUUCAAUCUUCGUUGUUUCUGUGAACAUUGUUUAUUCGUGAUUUUGAGAAGAAUUCAUUUUUGAUUUUGGAAAACCCUUGCUUUCCCAUUAACUGAUUUUGUUUAGGGUUUGAAUCGUUUAUCAAUUUUUCCCUGAAAACCAACAACCAUAAUAACUAGGGUUUUUAACGCACCUAUAUUCUUCCUUUUCAAACUUGAUUUCGUUACACCAUCCACUCUCACCGCAAGUUUGUUGUUUUCUUCACCUUCGUUCCAUUUCUCUAUCUAUUCUGCUUUCGAUUUAGUUAACUAACAUUGUUUGAUUCUCUUUGCUGUCAUGGAUGAAGUUAUUCAAGAACAUGGUGUUGUCAUUUCAGAUCCAUCAUAGAUCGAUGUCAAACUCUUCAAUUGCUAGAGCUUUGAUGAUAUCCAAGUUUAUUUCAGAUCCAACUUAAUUUUUUGUUGUAAUUUGUAAUAUAUACUCUGGUGAAGUUUAUAAAUUUAUGAUUUUUGUUGGUUGUAAUUUUGUUGUUUUUAUUGUGUUAGCUCACUGAUUUUUCGUUGAGUGACUAUAUUGCGACAACCAAAAUUCCUUGCACUAUGGGAGAUACUCUAUGAAGAGGUUUAGGAAAUUGCAGAAAUAUACAACAAGGGAAAUAAGGUUAACUUCAACCUGCUGUUGAGUUCCUUCCUAUGAUAGAUGAUAUGGAUAUUUGAGAAAUACUACUACGAAUCAUUUUUUUAAAUAUAUUCCUUUGUUAUUGGAUCUAUGUUGAUUUCCCUGAUGCUAAAAAAUGAAAGAAGAUUCUAAGAAUCUUUCUUGCAAAACAUAGUUUGUACUCUGAUUUUUGAGUUUGACGAACUAUCUAACUUGACCGAAGGAUACGCUGGCAGUGAUUUGAAGGCUAUUCAGAUUAAUGUUUAGAAGCUGUGUUUUAUGGAUCGCUUAUGAGGUUGGGUUUGGCUCGAAUGUUUGAGAGAGUCUUAGACAAGAUGUUUCAGUCUACCAAGGAGGUUUACUUCAAGGUUACUUGGCUUGUGUUCUAAUUUGUGUCUAAGUCAAGGGAUGCUAAUCAACAAGGCAAUAGAUUUGGGCAGAGGGAAAUUAAGGGCUUAAAUGAUGGGAACAUAUGAUAUUUAGAUGUGCUUCAUCAACAGUUUUAUCAUGUCGGUUUUUUAUUGCGAAUUCAGAAGUAGCUGCAAUGUUACACGGGUUUAUGUCACAUACUUAUGCAGUCACAGUUGGCCAUCUCCACCAUUAUGUAGUUGUCGUGCCAUUACACGUGUUAAAUGUAAUUGGGCCAAUUUUGUUAAGGUUUUUUCGGAAUUCUGACAGGAUCUUGAACCAUCAGUUGAUUCGUAGAGACUAGAGACUGAGCUGGUAGGGGAGUUGGUUUGGCUGGUGAAGUUUAUCUAAUUUGUUUUUAUUUUUUUGGCGCGGUGGAUGGUAUUUUCAGCUUACCGUAUAUCGGAGCGUCGUUUGCACCUGUGAUCAAGUGUAGCUUGCGUUGAAAUUUGGAUUUUAAUCAUGUAGAUGGAUUUUAAUUGAUGCUUCUAUUGCUGGUAAAGUUUCAGAUUGUUCCUUAUUCUUUAUCCUGGGUAGCUGGUAUUUAGCGCGCUAUCGAUCUUUUUCGCAUCGGGUGUUUCUGCAGCGUAUGUGCCUCUGAUAGUUUUUUUAAGGAAGAAUGCUUGCUGGUUGUGAGGCACAGUCGUCGCGGAGUAUCAGGAAUUUUGGUGUCGACGGUCGAGAGGUCUUUUAGAUAGACGGUAAUUAAAUUGUUCUAAGUUGGUGUUUUUGGUCUAUCAUGCAGUGCUGGUCUGGUCUUUUGUUUCUGUCAUGCAAUGCUAUUUUUCGUGUAUACUAUUGUUUUGGGGUAGUUUUCUCUAUUGGCUUAGACGUUCUUCAAGUGGUGUUGUUUAAUGGCCUUAAAUUUUGGCACAAUAUUCAUGUAUGUUCUUUAGUGGA